GUCGGAGACAUUCUUAUAGAUUUAUUUGUGUUUGUUAACCGUCAUGCUCCAUGCUGUUUAGCGGAUUUGAGGCCAGAACCAGCCAUCAUAACCACACAAUAUGCAAGUUUUACUUGUGCAUGUGUUAACCUGUCACCAGCAACAAUCUCAGGAUCAUCGCUUGGAUAGAAAGCAGCCCUGUCAACUGAAUGUGACAUUUUCAAUCGAGUUACAGAUCUAUCUUUUUUCCCUUUCUUCAAAUGUCCUCGUGUAUGCCCAUGUGAAUGUGGGUGCAUUCACGAGGACACCCUUUUAGGCUUUUACCCUAUCCCGUCUGGUGACUGGUGACAUUCAACUCUUCAUCGGAUGGAUGGAGCAACUGUAGAUGCCUGGCUGUAUUUCCCAGGCAUAAAGGAGGAUUCGACAUUUCACUGGAAUGACUCUUAUGGCGGCCAGAGUGGAUCGAACUCAUCAAGUCAAGAAAUAAGAACGUCGCCGAGAAUAAGAGUGCUGCGCAAUCCAUAACGCAGUGCACAGUGGACUGUAUACACACAUAACAUGCUGUGUCUCCCGCUCCGACAUUUGCGUAGAAAUGUUAUAUUAGCCAUCGCCAAUGUAAACCAAUUUCCCGUUUUUCCCUUUUUCUUUCUUAUAGUAUACAUUGCUGUAUAAUACAUACAGUGCAUAGAGUACAACGGUGCGUACGUGUUCGUACUGGAAGCGAACGAAAUGGACCGUUGGUCGCGUACCAGAUGUUUGUUCGUUUCUAGUGUUUAUUGGUCCCGCUCUUUUAUAAUUCGGAGAGGAGGCCAAAAGAAAAAAUGUUUUCGAUCAAAUGUUUCGCUAAAAGACGAAUUUACAAUUUUGUCAUCUUGUUUCUUUUUUUUUGGCUUGGCCGUCUAUUGGAUAUACACACAAGGAAACAUCUGGUGAACUGGAAAAAUGUUUGCUUACAUCUAGCGCGGCAUAUUGGUGGCACUCUAAUUUUUUUGUCCCCCCUUCGUUUCAUCUUAAAGCAAUCUAGUAUAGAGCACGAGAACUGUAUAUAAAAGGGAAGCCGCUUGAGUCUCGUCUAG